AAGGAUCUCCAACAGAUGCUGCAGGUGGAUCAAACCUGGGGGUUCAGCGGGGGCCUGGUAAGACCGGCCUGUGAGCCCUAGGCUCAGGCUGGAGAAGCCCCUGACCGCGCUGCUCAGGGCGUGCGGCUGGCAGCUGCUCCCCUGCCCAGGGCUGCAGCCAAGGGGCUGAGCCUGCACCAACUGCACCCUCCUGCCGCUCUCUCCAGCUGGCAGAGGACAGCAGCAGCGUGGCCGAGCACCUGCGCCGGGCCCUGCCCUACCUGCAGAGCCCACAGGAGCCCCUGCGAGAGGCGCCGUCAGGUUCAUGGGGAUGGCCGGGAGGAGCUUGAGGGGAUAGCAGGAAAAGCUCCAGAUGAUCCUCAAUGCCCUUGAAUGCCUGACAGAGGAUGUCAGUAGUGCCAUGUCAGAGCUGGCACUUCAAACAUUGCAUGUGCUCCGGGCAAUACAGAGUGGGCAACACUCCAUCUUCCAGAAGGUGCAAGAUCAUACAGCCCUCUGUGAUGUCACACGGACAUCUCUGUGAUGUAACACAG